rnacentral:rRNA from 1 species
GAUUAAGUUAUUAAGGGCGCACGGUGGAUGCCUUGGCACUAGAAGCCGAUGAAGGACGUUACUAACGACGAUAUGCUUUGGGGAGCUGUAAGUAAGCUUUGAUCCAGAGAUUUCCGAAUGGGGAAACCCAGCAUGAGUUAUGUCAUGUUAUCGAUAUGUGAAUACAUAGCAUAUCAGAAGGCACACCCGGAGAACUGAAACAUCUUAGUACCCGGAGGAAGAGAAAGAAAAUUCGAUUCCCUUAGUAGCGGCGAGCGAAACGGGAAGAGCCCAAACCAACAAGCUUGCUUGUUGGGGUUGUAGGACACUCUAUACGGAGUUACAAAGGACGACAUUAGACGAAUCAUCUGGAAAGAUGAAUCAAAGAAGGUGAUAAUCCUGUAGUCGAAAAUGUUGUCUCUCUUGAGUGGAUCCUGAGUACGACGGAGCACGUGAAAUUCCGUCGGAAUCUGGGAGGACCAUCUCCUAAGGCUAAAUACUCUCUAGUGACCGAUAGUGAACCAGUACCGUGAGGGAAAGGUGAAAAGCACCCCGGAAGGGGAGUGAAAUAGAACCUGAAACCGUGUGCUUACAAGUAGUCAGAGCCCGUUAAUGGGUGAUGGCGUGCCUUUGUAGAAUGAACCGGCGAGUUACGAUUUGAUGCAAGGUUAAGCAGUAAAUGUGGAGCCGUAGCGAAAGCGAGUCUGAAUAGGGCGUUUAGUAUUUGGUCGUAGACCCGAAACCAGGUGAUCUACCCUUGGUCAGGUUGAAGUUCAGGUAACACUGAAUGGAGGACCGAACCGACUUACGUUGAAAAGUGAGCGGAUGAACUGAGGGUAGCGGAGAAAUUCCAAUCGAACCUGGAGAUAGCUGGUUCUCUCCGAAAUAGCUUUAGGGCUAGCCUCAAGUGAUGAUUAUUGGAGGUAGAGCACUGUUUGGACGAGGGGCCCCUCUCGGGUUACCGAAUUCAGACAAACUCCGAAUGCCAAUUAAUUUAACUUGGGAGUCAGAACAUGGGUGAUAAGGUCCGUGUUCGAAAGGGAAACAGCCCAGACCACCAGCUAAGGUCCCAAAAUAUAUGUUAAGUGGAAAAGGAUGUGGCGUUGCCCAGACAACUAGGAUGUUGGCUUAGAAGCAGCCAUCAUUUAAAGAGUGCGUAAUAGCUCACUAGUCGAGUGACACUGCGCCGAAAAUGUACCGGGGCUAAACAUAUUACCGAAGCUGUGGAUUGUCCUUUGGACAAUGGUAGGAGAGCGUUCUAAGGGCGUUGAAGCAUGAUCGUAAGGACAUGUGGAGCGCUUAGAAGUGAGAAUGCCGGUGUGAGUAGCGAAAGACGGGUGAGAAUCCCGUCCACCGAUUGACUAAGGUUUCCAGAGGAAGGCUCGUCCGCUCUGGGUUAGUCGGGUCCUAAGCUGAGGCCGACAGGCGUAGGCGAUGGAUAACAGGUUGAUAUUCCUGUACCACCUAUAAUCGUUUUAAUCGAUGGGGGGACGCAGUAGGAUAGGCGAAGCGUGCGAUUGGAUUGCACGUCUAAGCAGUAAGGCUGAGUAUUAGGCAAAUCCGGUACUCGUUAAGGCUGAGCUGUGAUGGGGAGAAGACAUUGUGUCUUCGAGUCGUUGAUUUCACACUGCCGAGAAAAGCCUCUAGAUAGAAAAUAGGUGCCCGUACCGCAAACCGACACAGGUAGUCAAGAUGAGAAUUCUAAGGUGAGCGAGCGAACUCUCGUUAAGGAACUCGGCAAAAUGACCCCGUAACUUCGGGAGAAGGGGUGCUCUUUAGGGUUAACGCCCAGAAGAGCCGCAGUGAAUAGGCCCAAGCGACUGUUUAUCAAAACACAGGUCUCUGCUAAACCGUAAGGUGAUGUAUAGGGGCUGACGCCUGCCCGGUGCUGGAAGGUUAAGAGGAGUGGUUAGCUUCUGCGAAGCUACGAAUCGAAGCCCCAGUAAACGGCGGCCGUAACUAUAACGGUCCUAAGGUAGCGAAAUUCCUUGUCGGGUAAGUUCCGACCCGCACGAAAGGCGUAACGAUUUGGGCACUGUCUCAACGAGAGACUCGGUGAAAUCAUAGUACCUGUGAAGAUGCAGGUUACCCGCGACAGGACGGAAAGACCCCGUGGAGCUUUACUGUAGCCUGAUAUUGAAAUUCGGCACAGCUUGUACAGGAUAGGUAGGAGCCUUUGAAACGUGAGCGCUAGCUUACGUGGAGGCGCUGGUGGGAUACUACCCUAGCUGUGUUGGCUUUCUAACCCGCACCACUUAUCGUGGUGGGAGACAGUGUCAGGCGGGCAGUUUGACUGGGGCGGUCGCCUCCUAAAAGGUAACGGAGGCGCUCAAAGGUUCCCUCAGAAUGGUUGGAAAUCAUUCAUAGAGUGUAAAGGCAUAAGGGAGCUUGACUGCGAGACCUACAAGUCGAGCAGGGUCGAAAGACGGACUUAGUGAUCCGGUGGUUCCGCAUGGAAGGGCCAUCGCUCAACGGAUAAAAGCUACCCCGGGGAUAACAGGCUUAUCUCCCCAAGAGUUCACAUCGACGGGGAGGUUUGGCACCUCGAUGUCGGCUCAUCGCAUCCUGGGGCUGUAGUCGGUCCCAAGGGUUGGGCUGUUCGCCCAUUAAAGCGGUACGCGAGCUGGGUUCAGAACGUCGUGAGACAGUUCGGUCCCUAUCCGUCGUGGGCGUAGGAAAUUUGAGAGGAGCUGUCCUUAGUACGAGAGGACCGGGAUGGACAUACCUCUGGUGUACCAGUUGUCGUGCCAACGGCAUAGCUGGGUAGCUAUGUGUGGACGGGAUAAGUGCUGAAAGCAUCUAAGCAUGAAGCCCCCCUCAAGAUGAGAUUUCCCAACUUCGGUUAUAAGAUCCCUCAAAGAUGAUGAGGUUAAUAGGUUCGAGGUGGAAGCAUGGUGACAUGUGGAGCUGACGAAUACUAAUCGAUCGAAGACUUAAUCAA